rnacentral:lncRNA from 1 species
UAUAAUAUUCUAAAACUAGCAAGAUGAUCAGCACAAAUAGUGAGGUUAUUUAGCUUUAUUUUGCAUUUGGUGUUUUAAUUUGAAAAUGGUUAUUACAACUAGUUUUGUUUACUUGUUUGACUAACUGCAUCCAUAUAGCCCCAAAUUCUAUAUAGCUACUUUUUAUGCAACCGGAGGGGCUUGCGUCCCUACAGAAAAAUUAAAUUACUAAAAAGAUGGGUCAACAGUUAUAAGCCACGAUCCGAGAAAUGAAAAAGGAAGAAAAAGAAGAUAAAAGAUAAAAAAUACAAAUUACUACAGAUUUUGGAUUCAUAGGUCAAAGAUAUCUGAGAUACUAUUAGGUCAUUUUCUGUUGUCCAAAUUGCCCAACUCAUUAAGAUAGCCACCAACAUGAAAAAAUGGGAAUGUGACUAAACUCUUAUUUGUAGUAAAGCUUUAGGAAAAGCUUAAUCAACCUG